rnacentral:rRNA from 1 species
GGCAAGCGUUGUCCGGAUUUCUUGGGCGUAAAGAGCGUGUAGGCGGUUAGGUGGGUCCGUUUUGAAAACUCGAGGCUCAACCUCGAGACGCCGAUGGAAACCAUCUGACUAGAGUCCGGAAGAGGAGAGUGGAAUUCCUGGUGUAGCGGUGAAAUGCGCAGAUAUCAGGAAGAACACCCGUGGCGAAGGCGGCUCUCUAGUACGGUACUGACGCUGAGACGCGAAAGCGUGGGGAGCGAACAGG